CCAAAAUUGCUAGUCCUCAUUUUCAUUUUAUAAAACAUACAUUUUGAUCCUCAUAAAUUGAACAAUUUGCUGAAAAUUGCCGCUUUGGGAGGCCGAGGCGGGCGGAUCACGAGGUCAGGAGUUUCAGACCAGCCUGACCAACCUGGUGAAACCCCGUCUCUACUAAAAAUACAAAAAUUAGCUGGGCAUGGUGGCGGGCGCCUGUAAUCCCGCUACUCAGGAGGCUGAGGCAGGAGAAUUGUUUGAAACCGGGAGGCAGUGAUUGCAGUGAGCCGAGAUCGCACCACUGCCCUUGAGCUUGGGCAACCGAGCGAGACUUCAUCUCAAAAAAAAAAAAAACCUAAAAUUUUGUGAUCUAUCAAAUGAUCUCUAAUUUCACUGAAAUAGGAAGGGUCUAUCCUCUACACCACAUGUUUAAUACAGGUAUACUGAUGUGUGCCCUUGUCCAAGACAUGGUUCCUCAUGUAUAAAACUUUGAAGGCUUUCAUGGUAGUCCACUUUUGUGGUCAGGACUUCUUUCAGUAUGGACCUUCUGAUUAGUCUCUAGUUGGAGGUGCUAAUCCAUUAUUCCUUUUUGCUUCAGUCUCAUUAGAAGAGGGCACCAGACUGCUUUUCAAUGUAGAAGCAAGAGGCAGCAUAGGAAGGAAAGGGGGAGGCAACACUUUCUGAGAGCCUUGCUUCAUGUCAGAAGCUGCCACUACACAAAGCUCUAUUUUAUCAAUUUGGAAUGAAAUCUCAGAAAGAUCAAGUAUGUGUCAGAGAGCAAGUAAGUGGAAAUGGGCUUCAAGCAUGGUUCCAUGUAGCUCUUAACCACCCUCUGUUCUUUUAUCGUCUGUUAAUAUAUGAAAGCACAUAUUUGUGUGUUUUUUGAAAGUGUUUUCAGAAUCAGUGAUAGGAGGAAAUUUGUUGAAAUGGUAAAUACAGAACCUAGGCAUCCCUGGGACUUUGCAUGCUCAGGCCUGGUGCUGAGAUCAGGAGGUGAUUUUCCUCAUUUCACAGCAGCCCUUGGAAGUGCAGGUGAUGACAUCCUGGACGCCGCCCAUCUCCAGGCUCUGCUUUGAAUUUGUUUCCAUCUGAGGCUAAUAUUAGGUCAAAUUUCCAAUCUUCAGACUUUCCAUUUUUAGCAAUAAAAACCAAGUUUUACAAUAUCUGUUUUGUUCAAACUCUUCUCUGAGGUGAUUCAAUACCUAGCACAUCUGGAAAACUAAAAUUGCUUAAACUAACUGAUUAAAUGAAACAAAAAAACUCAAUUUUUAGGCACCACCUGUUAAUUUAUUGGUUUGGAUGUCUUAGUGUUGUUCUAAUAAACGAUUUGUUAGGUCUUGGUAUGUGGUUAAGUUGGAAUACAAGUAAGAUACCUCCACACCAAAGGUCUAAAAAAAUUCAGCAGAUGGGUUCUUGGCUAUUUUCCAAAACAACACAGUAAUGUGAACACGUCAAUAAAUGUAACUUUUGAAAACCUUUUGAGCAUACAUGGCCUCCAUGUAAAUGGCAUUUUUGGCACCGUCUAAAGUCAUCAUGUUGUAAUAGUGUGGUACCAGCUGUGCACAUACAUUUAUAUCAGGGGAUUACUAAUGUCUGAUUAGAAUUCUUGCUUAUUAAUAAGAUUUAGGGUAGAAUAGAAUGUGAAUUAUAGAAAGAGAAGCACAAGUAUACAAACUUUUGAGAAAAUGCCUUCACUGUUUCUAAAUUAAAUUUAAUUUUCUUGUUUCACAGAUGAGAAAAUCAAAGCCCGUAUCAUCUGCUUCACGUCCCGCAUUUACUUAACGCUUCUCCCUCUCUUUCCACGGUCUCCCUCUCAUGCGGAGCCAAAGCUGGACUGUACUGCUGCCAUCUCGGCUCACUGCAACCUCCCUGCCUGAUUCUCCUGCCUCAGCCUGCCGAGUGCCUGCGAUUGCAGGCACGCGCCGCCACGCCUGACUGGUUUUGGUGGAGACGGGGUUUUGCUGUGUUGGCCGGGCCAGUCUCCAGCCCCUAACCGCGAGUGAUCUGCCAGCCUCGGCCUCCCGAGGUGCCGGGAUUGCAGACGGAGUCUCAUUCACUCAGUGCUCAAUGGUGCCCAGGCUGGAGUGCAGUGGCCUGAUCUCAGCUCGCUACAACCUACACCUCCCAGCCGCCUGCCUUGGCCUCCCAAAGUGCCGAGAUUGCAGCCUCUGCCCGGCCGCCACCCCGUCUGGGAAGUGAGGAGUGUCUCUGCCUGGCCAACCAUCGUCUGGGAUGUGAGGAGCCCCUCUGCCUGGCUGCCCAGUCUGGAAAGUGAGGAGCGUCUCUGCCCGGCCGCCAUCCCAUCUAGGAAGUGAGGAGCACCUCUUCCCGGCCGUCAUCACAUCUAGGAAGUGAGGAGCGUCUCUGCCCGGCCGCCCAUCGUCUGAGAUGUGGGGAGCGCCUCUGCCCCACUGCCCCGUCUGGGAUGUGAGGAGCGCCUCUGCCCGGCCACGACCCCGUCUGGGAGGUGAGGAGCGUCUCUGCCCGGCCGCCCCAUCUGAGAAGUGAGGAGACCCUCUGCCUGGCAACCACCCCGUCUGAGAAGUGAGGAGCCCCUCCGCCCGGCAGCUGCCCCGUCUGAGAAGUGAGGAGCCUCUCCGCCCGGCAGCCACCCCAUCUGGGAAGUGAGGAGCGUCUCCGCCUGGCCAGCCGCCCUGUCCGGGAGGGAGGUGGGGGGGUCAGCCCCCCGCCCGGCCACCCGCCCCAUCCGGGAGGGAGGUGGGGGGGUCAGCCCCCCGCCCGGCCAGCCGCCCCGUCUGGGAGGUGAGGGGCACCUCUGCCCGGCCACCCCUACUGGGAAGUGAAGAGCCCCUCUGCCCAGCAAGACGCCCCGUCCGGGAGGGAGGUGGGGGGGUCAGCCCCCUGCCCGGCCAGCUGCCCCAUCCGGGAGGGAGGUGGGGGGGUCAGCCCCCCACCCGGCCAGCCGCCCUGUCCAGGAGGGAGGUGGGGGGGUCAGCCCCCCGCCCGGCCAGCCGCCCCAUCCGGGAGGUGAGGGGUGCCUCUGCCCGGCCGCCCCUACUGGGAAGUGAGGAGCCCCUCUGCCCGGCCAGCCGCCCUGUCCGGGAGGGAGGUGGGGGGUCAGCCCCCCGCCCGGCCAGCCGCCCCGUCCGGGAGGUGAGGGGCGCCUCUGCCCGGCCGCCCCUACUGGGAAGUGAGGAGCCCCUCUGCCCAGCCACCACCCCGUCUGGGAGGUGUGCCCAACAGCUCAUUGAGAACGGGCCAGGAUGACAAUGGCGGCUUUGUGGAAUAGAAAGGCAGGAAAGGUGGGGAAAAGAUUGAGAAAUCGGA
rnacentral:lncRNA from 1 species